AGUGAACGCUGGCGGUAGGCCUAACACAUGCAAGUCGAACGGCAGCACAGUAAGAGCCUGCUCUUACGGGUGGCGAGUGGCGGACGGGUGAGGAAUACAUCGGAAUCUACUUUUUCGUGGGGGAUAACGUAGGGAAACUUACGCUAAUACCGCAUACGACCUACGGGUGAAAGCAGGGGAUCUUCGGACCUUGCGCGAUUGAAUGAGCCGAUGUCGGAUUAGCUAGUUGGCGGGGUAAAGGCCCACCAAGGCGACGAUCCGUAGCUGGUCUGAGAGGAUGAUCAGCCCCACUGGAACUGAGACACGGUCCAGACUCCUACGGGAGGCAGCAGUGGGGAAUAUUGGACAAGGGGCGCAAGCCUGAUCCAGCCAUACCGCGUGGGUGAAGAAGGCCUUCGGGUUGUAAAGCCCUUUUGUUGGGAAAGAAAAGCAGCAGGUUAAUACCCCGCUGUUCUGACGGUACCCAAAGAAUAAGCACCGGCUAACUUCGUG
rnacentral:rRNA from 1 species